UGUGGUUUACUGUCCUUAUCUGCUUUCUCCUAGAUCAAAAUACAUUUACAAGACCAAACCUUCUGGAAACAGUCUAGUUCCCAUAGUUACAAAAUGAGUAUGGACAAUACUUCAGUGUUGGUAACUCCUGUUCAUGUAAGAUGUUUCAAAAGAAAGGCAACGUUACAGGACAUAACAACUUGCAACAGUACGAGGUACACAAGAGACAGCAACAGCACUUGAUUACCCAGCAAUGUCUGUCCAUUUCCAAGAUGAUUAUGCAUCCAUUCAACGUGCCCCAGUUGCUUGUGAAUGGGUUGAGGAGCAUCAGAGACUUCAGGCAUCUUCCAUCACUACCACAAUUCCCGGAUCUCGAUCCCAUUGCGUAGGAUUGGGAUGAACUUGAACGACGCAUGACACACUUUAGUGACUUUCACA